CUACAAGACUGUUGAUGAUUGGCGCUUUGAUUGGCUCAAGGGAGAUUUCUUGGACUUCCUGAGGGAGUGGGAAGAGGAGGUGCAGUCAAAGCAACAGCUGGACAAAGCCACCAAAAAGAAGAUGACACUAAGCAGAGAAACAGUGGAAGGCAUUAAGAUCACAGUGCAUUCCUUUGUGGAGCUGGGGAAACAUCUACAUGUACUCCAGCAACCUGGGGUGCAGUAUCUGGUAAGUGAGAAAUUCUGCCAAGAUGCGCUA